AAAGCCACAACCAAUUUGUAAUACGGGACACAAAAAAAAUUACAAAAAAGCAGAGAGUUUGAAAUAGACUCAAAUAUCAAAAGGUGUUGUUUUUUUAUUUUUAUUUUUUGAAAUAGAUAAAUAAAAAAUAAUAAUAACUUACCUAUCGGUUCGUCUCCCCUCACUGUUGAACAUUGUCGGCGUCUGAUGAGGGUUUAAAAGGCGACGAGGGCCCUUUUU
rnacentral:lncRNA from 1 species